rnacentral:rRNA from 1 species
UACGAAGGGGGGCUAGCGUUGCUCGGAAUUACUGGGCGUAAAGGGCUCGUAGGUGGCCAACUAAGUCAGACGUGAAAUCCCCUCGGCUUAACCGGGGGAACUGCGUCUGAUACUGGAUGGCUUGAGUUUGGGAGAGGGACGCGGAAUUCCAGGUGUAGCGGUGAAAUGCGUAGAUAUCUGGAGGAACACCGGUGGCGAAGGCGGCGUCCUGGACCAAUACUGACACUGAACAGCGAAAGCCAGGGGAGCAAACGGGG